UCCCCGUUACCGGGGCAGUCUAGCCAGAAAAAUUCAACUGACCAUAAGGGUUGCGCUCGUUAAUGGACUUAACCAUACAUCUCACGACACGAGCUGACGACGGCCAUGCAUCACCUGUCUCUGCGGUCCCACUCUGGCUACAACAACUUGUUAUAGACAAAGUGGGACACAUUUUCUUUCGAAAACUUAGCAGGAUGUCAAACCUUGGUAAGGUUCUACGCUUAUCAUCGAAUUAAACAACACGCUCCACCGCUUGUGCGGGUCCCCGUCAAUUCCUUUAUGUUUUAAGCUUGCGCUCGUACUCCACAGGCGGGAUGCUUAACGCGUUAGCUUCGCUACUACCGGGAUCGAUACCGAUAACAGCUAGCAUCCAUCGUUUACGGCGUGGACUAC
rnacentral:misc_RNA from 1 species